ACUCAUACCUGGCAGGGGAGAUACCAUGAUCAUCUAAGUGGUUUUCCCAGGGUGAGGCUCAUCUAUUGCACUUUGGAUGUGCUGACCCCUGUGAUUUCCCCAAAUGUGGGGGACUGUGUUUGUGGUUUCC
rnacentral:snRNA from 1 species